GCGGGGAAAGAAGACCCUUUUUGAGCUUGACUCUAAUCUGGCAGUGUAAGGAGACAUAAGAGGUGUAGAAUAAGUGGGAGAUAUUAGACUUCGGUUUGGUAUCGACAAUGAAAUACCACUACUCUUAUUGUUUCCUUACUUACUUGAUUAAAUGGAACGUGUAUCAUUUCCUAGCCAUUAUACGGAUAUAAUUAUUAUGUCUUAUGGUAUUGGGUUUUGAUGCAAGCUUCUUGAUCAAAGUAUCACGAGUUUGUUAUAUAAUCGCAAACAAAUUCUUUAAUGAGAGAAUGCAUUUAUGUAUUAUUGAUUUAAAAAUUUGGUAUAACUCCAAUUACUCAGGUAUGAUCCAAUUCAAGGACAUUGCCAGGUAGGGAGUUUGACUGGGGCGGUACAUCUCUCAAAUAAUAACGGAGGUGUCCCAAGGCC
rnacentral:ncRNA from 1 species